rnacentral:rRNA from 1 species
UACGUAGGGACCAAGCGUUGUUCGGAUUUACUGGGCGUAAAGGGCGCGUAGGCGGCGUGUUAAGUCAGCUGUGAAAUCUCCAAGCUUAACUUGGAACGGUCAGCUGAUACUGAUGUGCUAGAGUGCAGAAGGGGCAACCGGAAUUCCUGGUGUAGCGGUGAAAUGCGCAGAUAUCAGGAGGAACACCAAUGGCGAAGGCAGCUCGCUGGGACGUGACUGACGCUGAGACGCGAAAGCGUGGGGAGCAAACAGG